rnacentral:rRNA from 1 species
GUACGGCCGCAAGGCUAAAACUCAAAGGAAUUGACGGGGGCCCGCACAAGCGGCGGAGCAUGCGGAUUAAUUCGAUGCAACGCGAAGAACCUUACCAAGGCUUGACAUGAACCGGAAAGACCUGGAAACAGGUGCCCCGCUUGCGGUCGGUUUACAGGUGGUGCAUGGUUGUCGUCAGCUCGUGUCGUGAGAUGUUGGGUUAAGUCCCGCAACGAGCGCAACCCUCGUUCUAUGUUGCCAGCGGUUCGGCCGGGGACUCAUAGGAGACUGCCGGGGUCAACUCGGAGGAAGGUGGGGACGACGUCAAAUCAUCAUGCCCCUUAUGUCUUGGGCUUCACGCAUGCUACAAUGGCCGGUACAAAGGGUUGCGAUACUGUGAGGUGGAGCUAAUCCCAAAAAGCCGGUCUCAGUUCGGAUUGGGGUCUGCAACUCGACCCCAUGAAGUCGGAGUCGCUAGUAAUCGCAGAUCAGCAACGCUGCGGUGAAUACGUUCCCGGGCCUUGUACACACCGCCCGUCAAGUCACGAAAGUUGGUAACACCCGAAG